UGUCUUCCAGGCACCCGAAGGCCCUAAACCUGGCUGCUUCCCGGACGCACAGUUCGCGAAGACCAGGUGGUGAAGGUCAGAUGGUGAUGAUGUGGCAAAGGUGGUGAAUAAGUGGCAAAAGCCGGCAGACCAGGUGGUGAAUUCACCACCUGGUCUGCCUCUGAGUUGUCGUGGUCUUGCAUGUCUAUAGAUUAACAAUAGACAAACAUCGUUAAUCUGGGCCCAACCCGUGUACGCUGUAAGCAAGCGCAGGUACCGGUGGAUAAUACUUAGCUGCGUUUGAUAUAAGCCACUGAAGUUGUAUACUGCUAAGAUUGCUGUAGAGCCUAUUUGUAGACAUUAGUACGCACAUAGUGUAUACCUCCGCAUUUGUUGACCACAUGAUAUGAUCUACGUAGUCGCUCUCGGCAAUCCCAAGACAGUCUUCACAGUUGUCGCACCACUUUUGCGGCAGUAGAAUAAAGAAAGCAAAACGCCGAUCCAAUUGUUAUAAUAGAUGUUAUGAACGCCAGCUUCAGCUACAACUGGAUUCCAAACAGGCAUCAAGCUAACAGCAAAGACACUCGUAAUGUUUGUAGCUGACAACGCGGACUUUGUGAAUGUGCGAUGAACCGAUGUCGUGCAUGUGGUGUUCGCGUUGUGUGUCGUCCGAUUCUCGGAUACUUUUCACAUUGUCUUCAUAUCUCGGCUGCGUCACUAACAUCGGGCGGUUUUUUGUUGACUGAUAUCCCGCACUAUAAACCCAUCAAAGUUUCUCAUUCACUUGAAAUAGGUGCCAAAUUCUCUGAGCCCACCCAGUGUUUCGCCGGCGGUAUGCCUGCGCAGCCUCGCAUAUGAGUACCUCAAUGCUGUACUGAUUGCUUUGACCUAUCAUGGGAACAGAAAAGUAGCACUAACAUACGUGCGGGCAUCACAUUUGGCGGUAGGCUGGAAGAUAUGCUACAAGUACGCUGUAUUACUAAUCGACGCUGGCAAUAAUGCGUCUGAAACGUCUGAAGGGCCCUGUAACGGCUUUUACAAACAGCGCAUUCAUGUUAGCGUUCCAGUCUCAUACGAUAGCCCACAGCGUUUGUCAUGCAACCUGCCAGCGCAUUUCCUUCGUCCAUGAAAAAAGAUGAAUUAUGGUGAUAAAGAUGCAUAAGCCACCCGUUCCGGAGCGCAUGGCGCGCAGGGAGAGAGAGAAAGAGACAAAAAAAAAAUGAAGGAAAAGGCGCUCACACUCUUCCGAGCGCGCACGCCCUCGGGCGCGGAGCUCCUGCGCAUGCUCGGAGCUCUUGCGCAUGCGCGGCGGUGCGUCGUCUCAACGAGUGCGCCAGGCACGUAAACGGUUGUAUCGGUGUGCGGUGUCUGCCUGAACGUUGGUGUCUGUGUAUGCGUGUCUUCUUUGUGGCAUCACACGUCAACUACACCGGACGCAUACACCUGCAGCACCUUUGGGACUAAUGACACAAAGGUCAAGGCCAGCCUGGCGACCAUGCUUGCCAAGGAGUAGUGUAAAUAUUUAAUCUGUUUCCAUAAUAGCAUAAGACAUGAAUUUAAGGAAUUCAUCUAUUAUAUCCAGCAAUAAAAACUGUUAAUGCA